GGCCAGCAGCCGCGGUAAUACGUAGGGGGCGAGCGUUGUCCGAAUUUACUGGGCGUAAAGCGCGCGUAGGCGGAUUUUUAAGUUGGGGGUGAAAUCCCGGGGCUCAACCCCGGAACUGCCUCCAAAACUGGAAGUCUUGAGGUAUGGAGAGGGAAGUGGAAUUCCAGGUGUAGCGGUGAAAUGCGUAGAUAUCUGGAGGAACACCCGUGGCGAAGGCGGCUUCCUGGUCAUAUCCUGACGCUGAGGUGCGAAAGCUAGGGGAGCGAACGGGAUUAGAUACCCCGGUAGUCCUAGCCGUAAACGAUGGAUACUAGGUGUAAGUGGUAUCGACCCCACUUGUGCCGUAGCUAACGCAUUAAGUAUCCCGCCUGGGGAGUACGGCCGCAAGGUUGAAACUUAAAGGAAUUGACGGGGGCCCGCACAAGC
rnacentral:rRNA from 1 species